rnacentral:rRNA from 1 species
CGGGGCGGGCUUCUAUACUGCAGUCGAGCGGACAGAUGGGAGCUUGCUCCCUGAUGUUAGCGGCGGACGGGUGAGUAACACGUGGGUAACCUGCCUGUAAGACUGGGAUAACUCCGGGAAACCGGGGCUAAUACCGGAUGGUUGUUUGAACCGCAUGGUUCAGACAUAAAAGGUGGCUUCGGCUACCACUUACAGAUGGACCCGCGGCGCAUUAGCUAGUUGGUGAGGUAACGGCUCACCAAGGCGACGAUGCGUAGCCGACCUGAGAGGGUGAUCGGCCACACUGGGACUGAGACACGGCCCAGACUCCUACGGGAGGCAGCAGUAGGGAAUCUUCCGCAAUGGACGAAAGUCUGACGGAGCAACGCCGCGUGAGUGAUGAAGGUUUUCGGAUCGUAAAGCUCUGUUGUUAGGGAAGAACAAGUGCCGUUCAAAUAGGGCGGCACCUUGACGGUACCUAACCAGAAAGCCACGGCUAACUACGUGCCAGCAGCCGCGGUAAUACGUAGGUGGCAAGCGUUGUCCGGAAUUAUUGGGCGUAAAGGGCUCGCAGGCGGUUUUCUUAAGUCUGAUGUGAAAGCCCCCGGCUCAACCCGGGGAGGGUCAUUGGAAACUGGGGGAACUUGAGUGCAGAAGAGGAGAGUGGAAUUCCACGUGCAGCGGGUGAAAUGCGUAGAGAUGUGGUAGGAACCACCAUUGGCGAAGGCGAACUUUUCUGGUCUGGUAACUGACACCUGAAGG